GAUGAAGAACGUAGCGAAAUGCGAUAAGUAAUGUGAAUUGCAGAAUUCAGUGAAUCAUCGAAUCUUUGAACGCAUCUUGCGCUCCUUGGUAUUCUGAGGAGCAUGCCUGUUUGAGUGUCAUUAAAUUCUCAACUACACUGACUUUGAAUUGGUGUGGCUUGGAUUUGGGGGGAAAAUUGUUGUGGGCUUUUUGUAUAGUCUGCUCCCCUGAAAUUGAUUAGCGGUACCUUUGUGGAACUGUCUACAGGUGUGAUAAUUAUCUACAUCUUAGACAUCUGCUGGAAUGCUGCUUUCUAAACCUUACUUGUAUUGACAAUCUUGACCUCAAAUCAGGUAGGACUACCCGCUGAACUUAAGAAUAUCAAUAAGCGGAGGA
rnacentral:misc_RNA from 1 species